rnacentral:rRNA from 1 species
GACGUAGGGGGCGAGCGUUGUCCGGAAUUACUGGGCGUAAAGAGCACGUAGGCGGAUAUUUAAGUCAGGUGUGAAAGACCGGGGCUCAACCUCGGGUGUGCAUUUGAAACUGGGUAUCUUGAGGGCAGGAGAGGAAAGCAGAAUUCCUGGUGUAGCGGUGAAAUGCGUAGAAAUCAGGAGGAAUACCAGUGGCGAAGGCGGCUUUCUGGACUGACCCUGACGCUGAGGUGCGAAAGCGUGGGUAGCAAAC